rnacentral:rRNA from 1 species
UACGAAGGGGGCUAGCGUUGCUCGGAAUUACUGGGCGUAAAGCGCACGUAGGCGGUCUUUUAAGUCGGGGGUGAAAUCCUGGAGCUCAACUCCAGAACUGCCUUCGAUACUGGAAGACUUGAGUCCGGGAGAGGUGAGUGGAACUGCGAGUGUAGAGGUGAAAUUCGUAGAUAUUCGCAAGAACACCAGUGGCGAAGGCGGCUCACUGGCCCGGUACUGACGCUGAGGCACGAAAGCUAGGGGAGCAAACAGG